UAAUUUGACUCAACGCGGGAAAUCUUACCGGGUCCGGACACACUGAGGAUUGACAGACAGUUUUUAUAUAUCGAAUUGGCGAGUAUAUUACAAAUAUGCUAGCUCUUUCAAGAUUGUGUGAUAGGUGGUGCAUGGCCGUUCUUAGUUCGUGGAGUGAUCUGUCUGCCCAAUCGCGUUUCAAAUUUACGAGUCGAGUUGUUGUGAGUUCUCGCGUUGGCUUUGUAGGUGUACCGCACAUGCAAUUGCCACGCGCGUCUCACUUACAGACUCUCUUGAACGCAACGGACGGGACCGUACCCUCUUGUUGUGUAGAGCAAGUCAAAGCUGCAGUUGUCUUUGUAUCUCUUAACGGAAUGCAAGUUCAAUUGCAUUAGCUAGCGACUCCACUACACAUGUUCACGUCGUCUCAUCUUCAAUUCACUUGAGUCGACUGGACAAACUUGAGGGACCGCUGUAACAAUCUUUUAAACCAGAUGAAGGUUGCGGCAAUAACAGGCUGGUGAU
rnacentral:rRNA from 1 species